rnacentral:rRNA from 1 species
UACGUAGGGUGCAAGCGUUGUCCGGAAUUAUUGGGCGUAAAGAGCUCGUAGGCGGUUUGUCGCGUCUGCUGUGAAAGACCGGGGCUCAACUCCGGUUCUGCAGUGGGUACGGGCAGACUAGAGUGCAGUAGGGGAGACUGGAAUUCCUGGUGUAGCGGUGAAAUGCGCAGAUAUCAGGAGGAACACCGAUGGCGAAGGCAGGUCUCUGGGCCACUACUGACGUGAGAAGCGAAAGCAUGGGGAGCGAACAGG